rnacentral:piRNA from 1 species
UGUGACCUGCAUGCAGUGGUACCUUCA